rnacentral:rRNA from 2 species
CAAUCAAGUGUGAUAAGGGCAUCUGGUGGAUGCCUUGGCGCUAAGAGGCGAUGAAGGACGUGGUACGCUGCGAUAAGCCCUGGGGAGCUGCGAACGAGCUUUGAUCCGGGGAUUUCCGAAUGGGGCAACCCACCUUCAGUGACCAGUGAACAGUGGGCAGUUGCCGGAGCGAUCUGGUGGCUGGUUACUGUUUACUGGUUGCUAUGAGAAGGUAUUUGAUCCUGAAUACAUAGGGGUCAAAGGCGAACCCGGGGAACUGAAACAUCUCAGUACCCGGAGGAAAGGACAUCAACGAGACUCCGUCAGUAGCGGCGAGCGAACGCGGACCAGGCCAAUGCUCACAUUCUUCUCAACCGGAACCGUCUGGAAAGUCGGGCACUAUGGGUGACAGCCCCGUACGGGUUCAGGGAGGUGUGGGAUACGAGUAGGGCGGGACACGUGAAAUCCUGUCUGAACAUGGGGGGACCACCCUCCAAGCCUAAGUACUCCUUAGCGACCGAUAGCGAACCAGUACCGUGAGGAAAGGUGAAAAAGCACCCCGACGAGGGGAGUGAAACAGUCCUGAAAACCGGAUGCCUACAAACAGUGGGAGCCCAAGGUUUGUCCUGGGUGACCGCGUACCUUUUGUAUAAUGGGUCAGCGACUUGAAGUAGCGAGCAAGCUUAAGCCGUGAGGUGUAGGCGCAGCGAAAGCGAGUCUGAACAGGGCGUUCAGUUCGUUGCUUCAGACCCGAAACCGAGUGAUCUAGCCAUGAGCAGGUUGAAGGUGCGGUAACACGCACUGGAGGACCGAACCGGUGUCUGUUGAAAAAGCCUCGGAUGACUUGUGGUUAGGGGUGAAAGGCCAAUCAAACUCGGAGAUAGCUGGUUCUCCGCGAAAAGCUAUUUAGGUAGCGCCUCGCGUUUAUGCUCCAGGGGGUAGAGCACUGGAUGGGCUAGGGCUGUCCACAACGGUACCAAACCUAACCAAACUCCGAAUACCUGGAAGACUUGCGCGGGAGACACACGGCGGUGCUAACGUCCGUCGUGGAGAGGGAAACAACCCUGACCUACAGCUAAGGCCCCCAAUUCGUGGCUAAGUGGGAAAGGAUGUGGGAACCCCAAAACAACCAGGAGGUUGGCUUAGAAGCAGCCAUCCUUUAAAGAAAGGCGUAACAGCUCACUGGUCUAAACAAGGGUUCCUGCGCCGACAAUGUAACGGGGCUCAAGCCACGAGCCGAAGCUUAGGAUCUGGUGACCAGUUAUCAGU